UAAAAAAAAUCACCUUGUCAGCAAUGUCAAGGUAGGUAGCUACAUAGUUGAUGAUAGCUACGGUUAAUUAUUCUAAAGUCAUGGUGAGUAGAGACAUCAUGUCAAUAGGUACCAGUCAUGGUGAGUAGAGACAUCAUGUCAAUAGGUACCAGUCAUGGUGAGUAGAGACAUCAUGUCAAUAGGUACCAGUCAUGGUGAGUAGAGACAUCAUGUCAAUAGGUACCAGUCAUGGUGAGUAGAGACAUCAUGUCAAUAGGUACCAGUCAUGGUGAGUAGAGACAUCAUGUCAAUAGGUACCAGUCAUGGUGAGUAGAGACAUCAUGUCAAUAGGUACCAGUCAUGGUGAGUAGAGACAUCAUGUCAAUAGGUACCAGUCAUGGUGAGUAGAGACAUCAUGUCAAUAGGUACCAGUCAUGGUGAGUAGAGACAUCAUGCCAAUAGGUACCAGUCAUGGUGAGUAGAGACAUCAUGUCAAUAGGUACCAGUCAUGGUGAGUAGAGACAUGUCAAUAGGUACCAGUCAUGGUGAGUAGAGACAUCAUGUCAAUAGGUACCAGUCAUGGUGAGUAGAGACAUCAUGUCAAUAGGUACCAGUCAUGGUGAGUAGAGACAUCAUGUCAAUAGGUACCAGUCAUGGUGAGUAGAGACAUCAUGUCAAUAGGUACCAGUCAUGGUGAGUAGAGACAUCAUGUCAAUAGGUACCAGUCAUGGUGAGUAGAGACAUCAUGUCAAUAGGUACCAGUCAUGGUGAGUAGAGACAUCAUGUCAAUAGGUACCAGUCAUGGUGAGUAGAGACAUCAUGUCAAUAGGUACCAGUCAUGGUGAGUAGAGACAUCAUGUCAAUAGGUACCAGUCAUGGUGAGUAGAGACAUCAUGUCAAUAGGUACCAGUCAUGGUGAGUAGAGACAUCAUGUCAAUAGGUACCAGUCAUGGUGAGUAGAGACAUCAUGUCAAUAGGUACCAGUCAUGGUGAGUAGAGACAUCAUGUCAAUAGGUACCAGUCAUGGUGAGUAGAGACAUCAUGUCAAUAGGUACCAGUCAUGGUGAGUAGAGACAUCAUGUCAAUAGGUACCAGUCAUGGUGAGUAGAGACAUCAUGUCAAUAGGUACCAGUCAUGGUGAGUAGAGACAUCAUGUCAAUAGGUACC